rnacentral:lncRNA from 1 species
CUCAGGUUGGCUCUCACUCCCUCUGGGAACAUUCCCUCAGCCCCAAAAGUUGGCUGCAGUGUCUCUGCUGGUCCCCCCACAGUGCUGGGUACUUCCGGCCACAGCACACAUCAGCUGGUAUGGCUUACAUGGCCAUGUGUCCCCCACCUGACGCUGAGCUCCCAAGGGCAGGACCUGCAGGCCAGGCCUGGAGGCAGCUUGUGCUCUGCUGGCCUCCUGGGUGAGGGCCCAGUCUAUGCAAGGGACUCCUCGGCACUCUCUCCUGCUGGCUUUACUGAUGCAGCUCCAUGAGCAGACCGUGCCUGUGCCACACAGGAGCUGUGCUCAGAGCCGCGGCACGCACAGAUGGCAGGGACCCUCCCUGAGCUCGACGAUCAGGGAGCUGAGCCCAGAGACAGCAAACUCAGUGAGCAUCAGGGAUGUGAUAAAUGUCCCAGGAGCCCACAGGCCACCCUUCUUGGUGUCUGCAGAGGGGUCUGAUCUUGCCACUGCCCUCCAAGAGCUCCAUGAAGGCCGUGCUCUGAGACCAAGAAGAUGCGGCACGCCACAGCCUGCCCAGCAGUCUUCCUGGAGAGAAGAGUUGGCUCCACUUAAUGGCCUGGCCCCAAGCGCUCUCACAGACACCCGCCAGGCCAGGGCUCUGGUGUCCAUGUGAACAUCUGCCGCCCCCGUAAAGCUGCAGCAGUUGCCUGUCACCAAGACGUCACUCCGUAAAUCUGCACGACAACUCGAUUGGUCCUGAGCUAACAUCUGUGCCAAUCUUCCUCUAUUUUGUACAUGGGAUGCUGCCACAGUGUGACUUGAGCAGUGUGUAGGUCCAUACCCAGGGUUCUGAACCCACCAACCCUGGGCUGCUGAAGCAGAGUGCCCGAACUUAACCACUACACCACCAGGCCAGCCCCUCACAGCUACUCUUUGAAAGAGGUGUUGCUACCACAUUUUCCAAGUGAAGAAAAUGAAGUUUAAUAAAGUGUCCAAAUUGAUACAAAAAGACAGUGGCAGGGCUGGGAGCCAAUCCACACUGGCUGAUGCCAGCAUCUGUGCUCAAUCUAAUGCAUCCCACUGCACGUAACAGGUUUGUAUUAAACUGACAGCAAAGCAUGGCUGCACGCCUAACAAGUCCCUUCAAAAGG